rnacentral:rRNA from 1 species
UACGUAGGGUGCAAGCGUUGUCCGGAAUUAUUGGGCGUAAAGAGCUCGUAGGCGGUUUGUCGCGUCUGCUGUGAAAACUCGAGGCUUAACCUCGAGCUGUCGGCGGAAACCAUCUGGCUAGAGUCCGGAAGAGGAGAAUGGAAUUCCCGGUGUAGCGGUGAAAUGCGCAGAUAUCGGGAAGAACACCCGGUGGCGAAGGCGGUU